AUACACUGAAGCUGCACUUUGCUUGUCAGCCAACAGCUACCAGGCGCCUGAAACCGAUAAAAUCCUGACAAGGCAGCCUGAUUGCUGAGGUUGGCAGAAAGCCAUACCAACCCCAAGAUAACCACCAUCAUCUUCCACCAAAAGAGUGAGGAAAUCAAGCCCUGAUUUGUUUUACUCAAAGCAGGCAGAAGCAGCAAGGGAGAAAGGCGAUGCAGCACAGUACCAGUGUGUACCUAAAAUAGAUGCCUGCCUUUUUGCUUUAGAAGACAAAAUGGAGCUGAUCACCAGUGAGAAGACUGAGCUCUCUCUCCUGCAGUGGGCUGCCGUGAGGAGAUGGUGACCCCAGCCUAGAAGAAUCCACGCCACCGCACCCCAAUCCAUGGUUGCUUAACAGGGCAGAAUUAGGAAUCGGUUGCUUCCUACCUUUAGUGUGACUCUGGGACAAUAAAGUUCCACUCUUAGAGCUUCAGUUUUAUACUUGGUGAAAUGGGGAAAGUGCUAUCACUUUCCUCACCUAUCUCAGAGGUGAGUGCUAAGAUCAAAGGACAGGGGAAUGUGGUUGUGCUUUAUAAACUGUGAAGCUAUUAACAUACGUGAAGCAUUAGUGUGCUCUUGGCAGCCAGUCCUCACGUUUACAGUGGGUGAAUGAAAGCAGCCAGGCAAACGCUCAGGUUAUAACCUUAUAAGGCAUAAUUGGAUUACGGGGUGAAGGGAGAAAAAAAAAAACGGUAUCUCUU
rnacentral:lncRNA from 1 species